AAAACGCGAAAUGUGUUAUGACAUGCAAUCUUUGAGAAUCAUUAAAUAUUUGAACGCACCUUGUACCAAUGUCAUCAUUGGUAUAUUUGUUUGAGUAUGGGAACUGAGUUCGACACACGAAUGUGUUGGAGAUGGGGUGUACGACCAGUAAAUGGUUGUGAUCCUGAAAGCGAGGCAACCUUUUACGAAUGUCUCGGGAUAAUUCCUUCGAGGCACCAGUAAACAUUGUUAUGCACGAGUGAGAUAAUAAUAUAUUAUCCCCUCAAAUUUCAAACACUCUAUCUCAAAUCAAAUAAGAUGACCCGCUGAACUUAA
rnacentral:misc_RNA from 1 species